rnacentral:lncRNA from 1 species
AGCUAGAGUAUGAUGGAUUUUCUUCCAGUUUUGAGCUGGGCCAGGUGGCUCACGCCUGCAGUCUCAGCUAUUAAGGAGGCUGAGGCAGGAGGACUGCUUGAGCCCAGGAGUUCCAGACCCGUCUGAGCAAUACGGCACUGUCUUCAGCUCCUACAUGGGAUGAGGACUUCAGAGCGCAGAAGUCGACAGGCUCCCAUGAUUGUGUCAAGGCAAGAGUCAAGACCCACUGGAGGGCAGGGACCAUGUCUGCAUCUGUCUUUUUCACUGCUGCAUCCUCACGGCUCAGGACACUCCCUGGUACAAAGCAGAUGCUUAAUAAAUACUCAUUGGAUGGACAAAUGAAUGGAUGGACAGAUGAAUGAAUGAAUGAAUGAAUACACAAAUGAAUCAGAUCAGAGAUCAGAGAGGAAAAAACUGCUUACGUUUUUAACACGUAGAUGUGUUGCUUUUUGUGAUCUUUUCUACUUCUCUUUAGUGAGUAGCAAUAAAAUCAGUAAGGAGAAGAGGGUCUGUGUGUUGGUUUUCUGGAGGAGGAAGAUGGGAAGAUUUCCCUCUGCCCUGUGAUCAGGCUCUGAAUGGGGAGAGUUGUCCCAGGACACAGAGCAAGUGGUGAUAGCAUGUGAUGGAGGGAGGAAAGGAACACCUGCAGCAUAGGGAGGAAAGGAACAUAGAGCUGGCUGGAGACUGAGAAACCACUACUUGUUCUAUGUCCUGAGAGAGAGGGGGGUUGAGCAGGAGAAAGGGCUGCUGGGGUUUUCCACCUGCAGGCACCACGGCUGAAAGGCCUCCUGCCCAGGUCCUACCUCUGACUCAGUACCGACCUUAGGUAAGGCCCUUUCCCCAUUUAUGGCCAAGUCAGAAGAUGUGGCCCAGUCUGAGGUUAUCAAAAGGCAGAAGCCUCAUGAAUACACCUGGUUAUUAGCUCUGGCAGUGUAAAACCAACAGCAGCACCAACCACAUGGUGUGAGCUUCCUCCUCCACUUCUCUGUUCAGUUUCUCUUCCUGCCUGUUUUCUCUGCUGGGUGGGCAGUUCAGAAGGCUUGGGCCUACCAUGCCCCAAACAGAAGAGGCUGCUUUCCUUCCCUUCUGAGCAGCCACAGCAGUGUGAACCCAGAUGUGUAUCUGUCACCUUUUCCUCACUCCCAUCCCGAGCCCAUGUGUCCCAUGAAAAUGAGCCAUGAACCCCCCUUUGGACGGUGGGAAACUUGAUGACAGGUCCAGGUCCCCGAUUUGCAAAACAAAUUGCCUCUUCUCUUUCUUCCAGCCCAUGCGUCUCUCUUUGGGCAAAAGUUAAUUCUCACCAACCUCUAUCAACCUCCUCGGGUUGACUUCGCUAUGCUUUUUCUGGAAAUUUGUGCUUCCCCAUUUCUUAGAGCACAGCAAACUUGGGGUGCCCUGAAGGCUGAGACAGGGGCAGGGUGUGAGCAGCACUGGGCCUCUAAGGAUGCUCCUCCUUGUACAUUCCUGCCACAUUGUGGGGACACAAUCCCCAUCAGCGUGAUGAUGUCAUAAUUGGGGUGGGCGAGAUAGGGAAGUUCAUUGCCUGUUGCAUCCUUCCUGGCACCAUCUUGGGACUCUUCCCACUCAUUUGCUACUCAGGAUCCAGGGUUUUCCCAGACCAAGACACAGAGGAUCAGAUGUUCAGCCAUACCUACUCCCUUGUGGAGGUGCCAAUCAUAACUAAGGUGUACUGAGCAUUGACCUUGUUUAACCAGACAUUGUUGUAUCAAACACUUUAUCUUCAUUAACUCGUUUGAUGCUCAUAACAAUCCUACAAGGCUUGUCACAUUAUUCUUUUCACCUUUAAAAUGAAAAAAAAAAAAAAAAAAAAACAAGCUUAGGAAGGUAAUUUGCCCAAAGUUACCCAGCCACUAAGUGGUAGAGGCCCCACACACCCCUCCCACCAUGACCACAUCUUCUUUUUUUUUUUUUUUUUUUUUUUACAGAGUGAUAGAGUCUCACUCUCACUCUGUCACCCAGGCUGGAGAGCAGUGGUGUGAUCUCGGCUCACUGCAACCUCUGCUUCCCAGGUUCAAGUGAUUCUCCUGCCUUGGCCUCCUGAGUAGCUGAGAUUACAGGCAUGCACAACCACGCCUGGCUAAUUUUUGUAUUUUUAGUAGAGACAGGGUUUCACCAUGUUGGCCAGGCUGGUCUCGAACUCCCGACGUCAGGUGAUCCACCCACCUCGGCCUCCCAAAGUGCUGGGAUUACAGGUGCGAGCCACCGUGCCCAGCCAGCCACAUCCUCUUAUAAAGUGGAGGGGUGGAGGAAGGAAGGAGGUCUCUACAAGGGUUUCCUUUUGGGUCUAACGAUUAGUGAGCCCUCUCUAGGGAAGGAAAACCAACAUCUGUGCAGAACUUCAGGCUGGUGAGGAAGAUGUUGAUCCCAAUUAGAAUCUGGCAUCUGGCACUUGCAAUAAAUACCAGGGCACCUGCUUGUGUCCGCAGAAUCACCCCAGCCUUUGUGCCAGAAAGAAAACACUCUUCACUGGAUCCUCAAAGGAGUCCAGUCUCUGGCCCAGCUCUCAGGGAGCUCAUGGUCUGGUGGAGGUAAUGAACUCCUCUCCCUCACUCCACGUCUCCCUAAUUCACACCUCCUUCCUCUGAAAAGACUCCCUUCCAGGCCUUGACUAAAAGGGUCCCUGUCCUGAAGAACAACCACUGAGCUACAGACUCAAGGAACAAGUCCUCAUGAUCCAUCAGUCCCCUGUCCCCCCGUCAGCCUUGAUACCAUAUGACCUCAACCACUCUGCCUCCAGGGAACUCACAGGUCACCUGAAACUGAUACCACCUGGCUGAACUCCGCCCUCCAGUUUAUGUGCCUGUAUGAAGUCUGAUUUGACUGCAACAAGCCUUUUGACUAAAAUUGGGAUGUAUAUGUGUGCAGACUGCACAUAUCAAUUCUCGGAAGUUUUUUUUUUUUUUUCUCUCGGCUGGGCGAGGUGGCUUAUACCCGUAAUCCCAGCACUUUGGGAGACUGAGGUGGGUGGAUCACUUGAGGUCAGGAGUUCAAGACCAGCCUGGUCAACAUGAUGAAACCCCAUCUCUACUAAAAUACAAAAAUGAGCUGGGUGUGGUGGCGGGUGCCUGUAAUCCCAGCUACUCGGGAGGCUGAAGCAGGAGAAUCGCUUGAACCUGGGAAGCAGAGGUUGCAAUGAGCCGAGAUCGCACCAAUGCACUCCAGCCUGGGCAACAGAGUGAGACUCCAUCUCAAAAAAAAAAAAAAAAGAAGUUUUUUUCUUGUGGCAGAGCAAGAGUGGAAAAUAUUGUGUAUUUUAAAAGUCAGCUUUAUUCCCCGUUUUAAAAUCCUGAGACCUAAACUUUUGUUCCUACGCAGUCAAACCUUUAACCUCCACUUCCUGUGUUCUUUAGCCUUCUUCAAUAGAAAAGCUGCUAGCGAAUUGCCCCCAUGCACUACACACAGGUUUAUUUUUUCUAUGUAAAGUAUGUCCUUGUGGUUUGAGAUGCCUUAUGAAGAUGGAACUGACUGACCUCACUGAUGGCCUGAAUGUGGAGAGUGAGAGAAAGGGAGGAAUCAGGAAUGAUACUGAGAUUUUUGGCCUGAGCUUAUGGAUAUAAAAAGGAUUAAUGGAAGGGAGUUUCCAGUAAGCAACUCACAAUUCCACUUCCUGAAAAAGGAGUACUCUAUCCAAGAAAUUAUAAGCGGGAAACUUGGGAAGGAUUCCCCAUCUCCUUAAUAUGGAGGAGAGGUCAGGAGGCAGGGGCAGGCUGUGAGACUCUUGGGACCCGCUGUGCUUGUGUCACUUUUUUUUUUUUUUUUUUUUGAUACGGAGUCUGGCUCUGUUGCAGAGGCUGGAGUGCAGUGGCGCGAUCUCGGCUCAUUGCAACCUCCACCUCCCGGGUUCAAGUGAUUCUCCUGCCUCAACCUCCCAAGUAGCUGGGACUACAGGCACCUGCCACCACACCAAGCUAAUUUUUCUUAUAUUUUUGGUAGAGAUGGGGCUUCACUAUGUUGGCCAGGCUGGUCUCAAACUCCUGACCUCAGGAGAUCCGCCUGCCUUGGCCUCCCAAAGUGUUGGGAUUACAGGCAUGAGCCGCGGCGCCCGGCCUUCUGUCACCUUUUGCUAAUGCAGAUCAAUAGCGGUCAGGAGCAGUUUCCGUGGUAGGAAAAGAUUCUGGGGUGCAGAGGAGGCAGAGGCCCCCGGAAGGAAGCUGCACACCACCACACCAUGUGCUUUGAGGGGCAGUUAAGCCAAAACUGGCCUCUGACGUGGUUGUUUUACCAAAUGCAGAAAAGAGACCACAAAGAGCAAAGUCUCCUAAUUAGGACUGCUCUUGGUCCAGCUCCUUGCAGUCUGCCAUGCCAGUCAGGUCAUGGGGGUUAAAGGUUUCCUCUUUAAGGAAAUACCUGAAGUACAGGAAUAAUGCUAAUGACAAAAAUGCCAGGCAAAGAUGAGGUGGUAGGGGAGCUAUGUGGGGGCAAUGGGAACCUUCUAUUGGGUUCUUCAAGUUAGACCACAGAGCUCCCCCUUCUGAACACCUGAACAUGGGCAGUUUUUAGAAACCAGCAUAACUGAUGUGAGUUUUACUGCACUGUACUCAGGUUAAAAAAUGUCACAUUUAUUUCUACAAGUAAGAGAAAUGUAGCCAGGUGUGGUGGCUCACGCCUGUAAUCCCAGCACUUUGGGAAGCCGAGGCAGGUGGGUCACUUGAAGUCAGGCGUUCAAGACCAGCCUGCCCAACACGGUGAAACCCUGUCUCUACUAAAAAUACAAAAAUUAGCCAGCGGACACCUGUAAUCCCAGCGACUCGAGAGGCUGAGGCAAGAUAAUCGCUUGAACCGGGGAGGUGGAGGUUGCAGUGAGCCAAGAUUGUGCCCCUGCACUCCAGCCUGGGCGACAGAGAGACUGUCUCAAAAAAAAGAGAGAGAAAUUUGCACAGAGCCCUCACCCACUUGGUGAGUGGAAUAUUCCAUCUCAGUCAUAAUUCUGUUGUCCUGUCUUUCUUUUCCUUUUUUUUUUUUUUUAGAUGGAGUUUCACUCUUUUUGCCCAGACUGGAGUGCAAUGGCACGAUCUAGGCUCACUGGCAACCUCUGCCUCCCGGGCUCAAGUGAUUCUCCUGCCUCAGCCUGCUGAGUAGCUGGGAUUACAGGCAUGUACUACCAUGCCUGGCUAAUUUUUUAUAUUUUUAGUAGAGACAGGGUUUUGCCAUGUUGGCCAGGCUGGUCUCGAACUCCUGACCUCAAGUGAUCAGCCCACCUUGGCCUCCCAAAGUGCUGGGAUUACAGGCGUAAGCCACUGCACCUGGCCAAUGAUGAAUCGUUUAGCUAUAGAGACUCAAGGCCCUUCACAACGGAAGGCAUGGCAGAAGCUCUCACCCACAUUGCACGUGAAAGAGGCCCUGCUCAGAAUGGCCUCUCCCUGCUCCUUCACAAACCUAGCGUCACCCUUCUAGCUUCUGAAGAGAAGGCCAGAAACCCUCAGGAAUAUUCAUGCAGUUCUGGCCCCAGAAUGGCUCAUGCCAAACUUUAGUAUGCUUGAGAGACGGCAAUUCUAACCAGGCCACUGAACGCUCAACCACAAGAGAGGUGAACUCUCCACCGCCAUCAUCCAUCACUCCUCUCUUUACCUCCAUCCUCUUUCUACUCUGCGCCCCUACCUGCCCUCAGUCUGGACCUAAGACUUCUUAGGCUCUUCAGUAAGCCCUGGAGAUCUCUCGUUUAGCAAAAAGACUGACCCCAGCCUUGGGUUGACUAGGUCCCCAGUUCAGGCAGCUGAGUGACACAAGAUCAUGAAGGAAGGGCCAUCUGGCUCAGGCCUGCUUUCCCGUUGCCACCAACUGUCCCUGACAUUUCACAGUUCCCAUUUGGCAGCCACCAGUACCAAACGAAUGUGAGAAAAAGAAGCCCCUGGUCCACACAAAACCCACAGUAGCUUAUUUUCAGGCCACAGCUGAGGCCUGUUAAGCCUAAGUGGCAAAACCUGCCAUGUCUCAUAUCCUUAUUUUUAUUUUAUUUAUUUAUUUAUUUUUUUUGAGACAGAGUUUCGCUUGCCCAGGCUGGAGUGCAAUGGCACAAUCUUGGCUCACCGCAACCUCUGCCUCCCAGGUUCAAGCGAUUCUCCUGCCUCAACCCCCCGAAUAGCUAGGACUACAGGCAUGCGCCAGCCCGCCAGGCUAAUUUUGUAUUUUUUAGUAGAGACAGGGUUUCUCUAUGUUGGUCAGGCUGUUCUGGAACUCCCUACCUCAGGUGAUCUGCCCACCUCGGCCUCCCAAAGUGCUGGGAUUACAGGCGUGAGCCACCGCGCCUGGCCUCAUAUCCUUAUUUUUAUCUCUCCUUUUCCAUUGCUGCCAGCCAAUAUGGCCUAGAAGAUUUUUUGCUUUGGGGAAUGUAUGAUCAUAUUUUUCUGGCCAAAUAAUUGGUGUCUUUAAUAUUUCAUGGGCAAGGGAUUCCAAUUAAUAAAGCAGAUUGAAUGCAUAAAUGUAUUGCUCUUCUU